UGUUCAAUAUGCGUGAUUCCGUGAUUCUCUGGAUUCCGAAACAACAUUAUUUACGCUGCUGUGACAGAAAGAGAGUUCUGGGCUCGUGCACAGCAAGGCGCUCUGCCCAAGAAAUCCAACGAUGGUCUUCCGCCUUGGAUAAAUUCCCCGAUUCACUCAAUCGAACUUGUCCUGUUCGGUAGCGGUGUGACGGAACCUUCGAAACCGGAGUGGCCAAUGAACUCAUAAUUUGCAGCAUUUAUCACCACACAGUAUCCACCAGGGGGAACUCGCUGCAUGAUGGUACGGUCUCGCCGAAGGUCACUAGGACAAGCACCGCUUCAGCAUCCUGGCAAAUCCGUUCGCCAAAUCCGACAAAGUUAAUGGCCUCCUGGAGCAAAGAGAUUCAGAUGAAAGAAGCCUCACCCGCGCGAAUCAGUCGGAGUCGAAAGAGAAGUGAGGAACGUUCUAGAGGGAUUAUCUUGACAACCAUUCCUUGUCGUCGUAUAACCGGAUCAUAAAUUGAAAAAUGGUCAGAAAGCAGAUCCUAGAUCCAUCUUUUUACAGCCCUAUUACCAUGGCAUUCCUUAAGGAGCUGCCUCGCCACUCAUCACAUCUCAACUCAACUCAACAACUCAAACGGAGUUAGACCUCUUAAUAAAAUUGU